UGUCAGAAGUUGGGUUGGAUUCGAACCCACUCCCACAAGAGUGCACUCCGACCUGUAUGCAGCGCCUUAGACCGCUCGGCCAUCCUGAC